UAAAGAAGUUUUUCUUUGCGUCAAUGUUUAUGUGGAUUGUUCCUGUUGCAAUUUUGUAUGGUUUUAACCAUAAUUUGCUUCCUGGUACUUGCCUUGGAAGCUUAAGAGUCCUAGUUGAGAUAAAUCAACGAAUGCCUAUAAAUGGCAAGUGCACUUAUGGCGCUGUUGGCUCGCCAACAUAUUUAACGAGGAAACAUGAUCAAAUUGAGUAUGCAAAUAUCUUGAAUCUGCCUUAGAAUGUUGGCAAUUUAUCAUGGGACUUCAGCUUCAAAUAGUUUGGGAAAAAACAAAAAAGCUUUGGUUCAGCCCAUUUGUCUCCCCAUUCUUUGACACUGGUGAGUGGCUUCCUUGCUGUCAUCUCAGUCAACUUGGUUAUUGCGUUCUAU